rnacentral:rRNA from 1 species
UACGUAGGGGGCUAGCGUUGUCCGGAAUCAUUGGGCGUAAAGAGCGCGUAGGCGGCCCGGUAAGUCCGCUGUAAAAGUCAAAGGCUCAACCUUUGAAGGUCAGUGGAUACUGCCGGGCUAGAGUCCGGAAGAGGCGAGUGGAACUCCUGGUGUAGCGGUGGAAUGCGCAGAUAUCAGGAAGAACACCCGUGGCGAAGGCGGCUCUCUGGGACGGUACUGACGCUGAGACGCGAAAAGCGUGGGGGAGCGAACAGG